rnacentral:rRNA from 1 species
AGAGUUGAUCCUGGCUUAGGACGAACGCUGGCGGCGUGCCUAACACAUGCAAGUCGAGCGAGGAGAUCCUCGGGAUGAUCCUAGCGGCGGACGGGUGAGUAACACGUGGGCAACCUGCCUCAUAGAGAGGAAUAGCCUUCCGAAAGGGAGAUUAAUACCUCAUAACAUUGCAGUUUCGCAUGGAACAGCAAUUAAAGGAGUAAUCCGCUAUGAGAUGGGCCCGCGGCGCAUUAGCUAGUUGGUGAGGUAACGGCUCACCAAGGCGACGAUGCGUAGCCGACCUGAGAGGGUGAUCGGCCACAUUGGGACUGAGACACGGCCCAGACUCCUACGGGAGGCAGCAGGUGGGGAAUAUUGCACAAUGGGGGAAACCCUGAUGCAGCCAACGCCGCGUGAGUGAUGACGGCCUUCGGGUUGUAAAGCUCUGUCUUCAGGGACGAUAAUGACGGUACCUGAGGAGGAAGCCACGGCUAACUACGUGCCAGCAGCAGC